rnacentral:rRNA from 1 species
CCUACGGGGGGCUGCAGUGAGGAAUAUUGGUCAAUGGGCGCGAGCCUGAACCAGCCAAGUAGCGUGAAGGAUGACGGCCCUACGGGUUGUAAACUUCUUUUAUAAAGGAAUAAAGUGAGGCACGUGUGCCUUUUUGUAUGGACUUUAUGAAUAAGGAUAGGAUACCUCCGUGCCAGCAGCCGCGGUAAUACGGAGGUUCCGAGCGAUAUCCGGAUUGAUUGGGUUUAAAGGGAGCGUAGAGGGGUUGUUAAGUCAGUUGUGAAAGUUUGCGGCUCAACCGUAAAAGUGCAAUUGAUACUGGCAGUCUUGAGUCCAGUUGAGGUCGGCGGACUUCGUGGUGUAGCGGUGACCUGCUUAGAUCUCACGAAGACCUCCGAUUGCGACGGCAGCUUACUAAACUGCCACUGACAUUGAUGCUCGACAGUGUGGGUAUCAAACAGGCUUAGCUCCCCGGGUCGUC